GGGCCCAUUGCCUAGUCUGGAUAAGGCGACAGCCUUCUAAGCUGUAGAUCGGGGGUUCAAAUCCCCCUGGGCUCA
rnacentral:tRNA from 1 species